rnacentral:piRNA from 1 species
UAUCUAAUUGCAAAAACAUCA